GGCCGGUUGGCUCAAUGGUAGAGUGUCCGCCUCCUAAGCGGAAGGUUGCGGGUUCGAGUCCCGUGCUGGUCG
rnacentral:tRNA from 1 species